rnacentral:rRNA from 1 species
UACAGAGGUCUCAAGCGUUGUUCGGAUUCAUUGGGCGUAAAGGGUGCGUAGGUGGCAUGGUAAGUCGGAUGUGAAAUCCCGGGGCUCAACCCCGGAACUGCAUUCGAUACUGCUGAGCUAGAGUACUGGAGAGGAGAUUGGAAUUUACGGUGUAGAGUGAAAUGCGUAGAUAUCGUAAGGAAGACCAGUGGCGAAGGCGGAUCUCUGGACAGUUACUGACACUGAGGCACGAAGGCCAGGGGAGCAAACGGG